rnacentral:rRNA from 1 species
GAUGAACGCUGGCGGCGUGCCUAAUACAUGCAAGUCGAGCGAACGGACGAGAAGCUUGCUUCUCUGAUGUUAGCGGCGGACGGGUGAGUAACACGUGGAUAACCUACCUAUAAGACUGGGAUAACUUCGGGAAACCGGAGCUAAUACCGGAUAAUAUUUUGAACCGCAUGGUUCAAAAGUGAAAGACGGUCUUGCUGUCACUUAUAGAUGGAUCCGCGCUGCAUUAGCUAGUUGGUAAGGUAACGGCUUACCAAGGCAACGAUGCAUAGCCGACCUGAGAGGGUGAUCGGCCACACUGGAACUGAGACACGGUCCAGACUCCUACGGGAGGCAGCAGUAGGGAAUCUUCCGCAAUGGGCGAAAGCCUGACGGAGCAACGCCGCGUGAGUGAUGAAGGUCUUCGGAUCGUAAAACUCUGUUAUUAGGGAAGAACAUAUGUGUAAGUAACUGUGCACAUCUUGACGGUACCUAAUCAGAAAGCCACGGCUAACUACGUGCCAGCAGCCGCGGUAAUACGUAGGUGGCAAGCGUUAUCCGGAAUUAUUGGGCGUAAAGCGCGCGUAGGCGGUUUUUUAGUCUGAUGUGAAAGCCCACGGCUCAACCGUGGAGGGUCAUUGGAAACUGGAAAACUUGAGUGCAGAAGAGGAAAGUGGAAUUCCAUGUGUAGCGGUGAAAUGCGCAGAGAUAUGGAGGAACACCAGUGGCGAAGGCGACUUUCUGGUCUGUAACUGACGCUGAUGUGCGAAAGCGUGGGGAUCAAACAGGAUUAGAUACCCUGGUAGUCCACGCCGUAAACGAUGAGUGCUAAGUGUUAGGGGGUUUCCGCCCCUUAGUGCUGCAGCUAACGCAUUAAGCACUCCGCCUGGGGAGUACGACCGCAAGGUUGAAACUCAAAGGAAUUGACGGGGACCCGCACAAGCGGUGGAGCAUGUGGUUUAAUUCGAAGCAACGCGAAGAACCUUACCAAAUCUUGACAUCCUUUGACAACUCUAGAGAUAGAGCUUUCCCCUUCGGGGGACAAAGUGACAGGUGGUGCAUGGUUGUCGUCAGCUCGUGUCGUGAGAUGUUGGGUUAAGUCCCGCAACGAGCGCAACCCUUAAGCUUAGUUGCCAUCAUUAAGUUGGGCACUCUAAGUUGACUGCCGGUGACAAACCGGAGGAAGGUGGGGAUGACGUCAAAUCAUCAUGCCCCUUAUGAUUUGGGCUACACACGUGCUACAAUGGACAAUACAAAGGGCAGCGAAACCGUGAGGUCAAGCAAAUCCCAUAAAGUUGUUCUCAGUUCGGAUUGUAGUCUGCAACUCGACUACAUGAAGCUGGAAUCGCUAGUAAUCGUAGAUCAGCAUGCUACGGUGAAUACGUUCCCGGGUCU